GCGGUCCCAGGGCACCAGGGCUCCUGGGCUGAGGCCGGGCAGGGGUGGCCAACGCACACUCUCUCCUCCUGUCCCCUCUCCAGGACCGCUCAGGAAGUGGCAGCGAAGAAGACUGAGCCCCGACAUUCCAGUCUCGACCCCGAGCCCCUCGUUCCAGAGCCGAGACGGCAUAGGCCUUAGCAGUAACGGGUAGCAGCAGACGUAGUUUCAGACUUGGAGUAAAACUGUAUAAACAAAAGAAUCUUCCAUAUUUAUACAGCAGAGAAGCUGUAGGACUGUUUGUGACUGGCCCUGUCCUGGCAUCAGUAGCAUCUGUAACAGCAUUAACUGUCUUAAAGAGAGAGAGAGAGAAUUCCGAAUUGGGGAACACACGAUACCUGUUUUUCUUUUCCGUUGCUGGCAGUACUGUUGCGCCGCAGUUUGGAGUCACUGUAGUUAAGUGUGGAUGCAUGUGCGUCACCGUCCACUCCUCGUACUGUAUUUUAUUGGACAGGUCAGACUCGCCGGGGGCCCGGCGAGGGUAUGUCAGUGUCACUGGAUGUCAAACAGUAAUAAAUUAAACCAACAAC
rnacentral:sRNA from 1 species